AGUGAACGCUGGCGGCGUGCCUAAUACAUGCAAGUCGAACGGAGUGGCGCACGGGUGAGUAAUGUAUAGCUAAUCUGCCCUACACUAGAGGACAACAGUUGGGAACGACUGCUAAUACUCUAUAGUGUAGGAUGAGGCUAUAUUGGAUCAGCUAGUUGGUGAGGUAAUGGCUCACCAAGGCUAUGACGCAUAACUGGUCUGAGAGGAUGAUCAGUAAAACUGGAAGGGAGACACGGUGCGGACUCCUACGGCAAGCAGCAGUAGUGAAUAGUGCUCAAUGGGGGUAAGCGUGGAGCAGCAACGGCGCGUGGAGGAUGAUAGUUUUCGGAGAGUAAAGUCCUUUUGUUAGGGAAGCGGUACCUAACGAAUAAGCACCGGCUAACUCCGUGCCAGCAGCCGCGGUAAUAC
rnacentral:rRNA from 1 species